GAUGAAGAACGCAGCGAAAUGCGAUAAGUAAUGCGAAUUGCAGAAUUUCCGUGAGUCAUCGAAUCUUUGAACGCACAUUGCGCCCACUGGUAUUCCGGCGGGCAUGCCUGUUCGAGCGUCAUUUCAACCAUCAAGCCCUGCUUGCGUUGGGGUCCUGCGGCUGCCCGCAGGCCCUGAAAACCAGUGGCGGGCUCGCUAGUCACACCGAGCGCAGUAAUACAUCUCGCUUUGGGCGUGCGGCGGGUUCUUGCCGUUAAACACCCCCUUUUUACCAAGGUUGACCUCGGAUCAGGUAGGAAUACCCGCUGAACUUAAGCAUAUCAAUAAGCGGAGGA
rnacentral:misc_RNA from 1 species